rnacentral:lncRNA from 1 species
GUAGAGGCGGGACCUGGUGCUGUGGAAAGAGAGAACUCUUGCUCAUUCUUUCUAGUCAAGACCCAAGUGGACUCUUUGCUGGCUUUGAAAGGAAAGGCAUUUCUGGUUUGUACUUGGCAGGACUCUGAGAGCCCUAGCGCUGUGUAGUUGUUCUCCAGCACAAUCUCCGUGAAGACGCAGUCCUUGCCUUUGCCGUUGCUCUGCAGAUGUAGAGGCCCGUCUCGGCUCCUCGGACUCGAACUCUGCUUCCAAAGGUGUCCGUCUCCACGAUGAGCUUUGCUGUCAG